AUACUGGUAAUUUAAAGCCACGGGGAGAUUUGUGAGUGAGCUUUCCCUUGUUUUGAGCAAGGCUGCAAUUAAGUUUAAUUUACUGCUUUGAAAGACGGCAAAAAAAUGCGCAAAGGCACUCCUUGGAGAUAGGCGUAGAAGAGGGAAAAAGCAUACUUUUCCUGUAAGAGUUAUCUUCUGCUCUUCAACAAGUAUCAAGGUCACUCUUUGCAGCUACAUACCACGCUCCUGUGACAUUUCAGCAUAGAUUGCAAAUAGCAGCUGUCGGUGGAAUUGACAUGAUGAUGCAAGGAACAUGACAGUACCCCUUAAUCUCCCCAAAUCCAGCAAAAAAGGAAGGAAACCAGUGAACAAGGAAAUGCAGUAGCUGAAGUUCCCACACAGAGCGAUGCAGUCAUGACCAGAUAAUCUGCAUUAGUGAUGCUGGUUGAGGAAUAAAUAUUGGUCAUUAGGUAAGAAUAACUAAACUUUAAUAAAUGUCAAUAAUAUUGUGAUAAAACAUGGUGUGCAGAAAUGAUAUACUCAUUUGUUAAUGUACAGGUAGUUUUUAAUCUAUGGCCGGGAUCUUCCUGCCCUGCUGUGGCGGGACCUGCCAUGGGGAAUGCAACCGGCCAGCCAAAAGCCCACUGACUUUCAGCGGGACUGGAAGGUCCCGGCGGCUGGUGGGGCUGGAAAAUCCUAGCCUAUAUCUCAGCUC